rnacentral:misc_RNA from 1 species
UCGCGGCUUAUCACCGGCAGUCUCCUUAGAGUGCUCAACUAAAUGGUAGCACCUGUGCGCGAUCUCCGAAGAGGGGCUCUCGUUUCUGAGAGCUUGCUCGCGCAUGUCAAGCCUAGGUAAGGUUCUUCGCGUUGCGUCGAAUUAAACCACAUGCUCCACCGCUUGUGCGGGCCCCCGUCAAUUCCUUUGAGUUUCAACCUUGCGGUCGUACUCCCCAGGCGGGGUACUUCCUGCGUUAGCGCCGGCACCCAGAGGGUCGCUCCCCCAGGCACCUAGUACCCAUCGUUUACGGCGUGGACUAC